UGACAGCAUAAGGGCUCCACCUCUUCCCAUUCCGAACAGAGAAGUUAAACCUUAUCACGCCGAUGGUACUGCGAAAGCGGGAGAGUAGGUAAUCGCCACCU
rnacentral:rRNA from 1 species